CAGUUACGCAGUCAUGGUAGCUCCUGAGCUCAUCAGCUGGCUGUCUUCUUGCUGUAUCUGGAGAUCAUGGUACUGAAGGGUUGAACCCAACGCCUUUCCACUGAGCUACAUCCAUAGUUGGUUUUUUGGUACCAGGGAUCAAACUCAGGACCUUGCACUUGCGAAGCAGGCAGCGGAACCACUGAGCUAAAUUCCCGGCCCUCCAUUGUUUUUAUUUAUCUUUCAUUUUGAGACAAGAUUUCCCCUAAGCUACCUAGACUGGGCUCAAAUUCACAAUCCUCCUGCCUCAGCCCACUGAGUAGCUGGCGUUGCAGGCAGGUGUCACCAUGCUAAAGUUGGAUAUUGGGCUUCACCAAGAAAGGAAUUCAUACAAGAAUUAGAAAAUGGAGAAAAGUAGAAGCCAUUUGCAAGCAGCAGCUUCCACGUAUGAGAAAUACUAGUACAGUGGACCCUCAAGUUACAACUGGCCUGACAUUCAAACAACUUGGGUUAAUUAGUAAUUUUGGAUCUUUCGUCUAGGCCUUUGAUCCAUUUUGUGGAUAUUUGCACCAGGAAGAGAGACUAGGAAGAAAUAUAUGCCCUUAAGGACCUUCAACAACUCUGAAAAUCCCUAAGGAAUUUGGAUUCUACAAAUGUGUACUGUUUCUUGUCACCUGGGUAGUAUUCUGUCUCAAUGCAGGUCACCUCUCAGCCUCUUUCCUAUCCUUCCAGCAUAGAAACAGAGACACAAGCCCUCGCGAAUCUUUAACAUUUAGCGCAAUAUUACUAAAAGCUUGUGGAUAAUAGAACAGAAAAAAAAAAAACUUGACCCGUGCAUUUUACUGAGAAGAGACAGGACCACGUUGGGCCACCCGCAACCACCAAAUGUUCCCUGUUAAGUCCCCACUGAGUCUAAGGGACCAGCUCCAUAGCUCAGAGUGGGGUCUCCUCACCGCACCAUUCUCCAGUCGGGCUCCCCACAAGUGCAUGGAUGGGGCGUUUGUGGCAGAGGGUGCUUCUUCAUCUCACAGCCACAAGGACACUUUUCUAGUUAAAAUAUAGAACAGAAAAAGGAUGUGCCACGUUUUCAAGCUCUAUAAGGCCUUCACUAGCAGCCAAGCAGAUGCCAACAUUUUCC
rnacentral:lncRNA from 1 species